AGACGAGGAGGAGGCUGAAUACAGCGCUGUUCGAUUUGACAGUGCAACAGGAACAAGACGUGAAGAAGAGGGGGACGAUUCAUCUGCAGUGUACAGCACAGUCACCAAACACUGAAGAAACACAACAUGAAUCUAUUGUUUAUAUGUGGAUUUUACAGCCUCACGGAGCCAGAAGAAAUAAAACAUAUUGACAUGUGCA